rnacentral:rRNA from 1 species
GACGAACGCUGGCGGCGUGCUUAACACAUGCAAGUCGAACGGAAAGGCCCUGCUUUUGUGGGGUGCUCGAGUGGCGAACGGGUGAGUAACACGUGAGUAACCUGCCCUUGACUUUGGGAUAACUUCAGGAAACUGGGGCUAAUACAGGAUAGGAGCUCCUGCUGCAUGGUGGGGGUUGGAAAGUUUCGGCGGUUGGGGAUGGACUGGCGGGUUAUCAGCUUGUUGGUGGGGUAGUGGCGUACCAAGGCUUUGACGGGUAGCCGGCCUGGGAGGGGGACCAGCGACAUUGGGACUGAGGUACGGCCCAGACUGCUACGGGAGGCAGCAGGGGGGAAUAUGGCACAAUGGGCGGAAGCCUGAUGCAGCAGCGCCGCGUGCGGAAUGACGGCCUUCGGGUGGUAAACCGCUUUCGCCUGUGACGAAGCGUGAGUGACGGUAAUGGGUAAAGAAGCACCGGCUAACUACGUG